rnacentral:rRNA from 1 species
AAUGGGGGCAACCCUGAUCCAGCCAUGCCGCGUGAGUGAAGAAGGCCUUAGGGUUGUAAAGCUCUUUCGCUAGGGAAGAUAAUGACGGUACCUAGUAAAGAAGUCCCGGCUAACUCCGUGCCAGCAGCCGCGGUAAUACGGAGGGGACUAGCGUUGUUCGGAAUUACUGGGCGUAAAGAGUACGUAGGCUGUUUGUCAAGUUGGGUGUGAAAGCCCGGGGCUCAACCCCGGAACUGCACUCAAAACUGGCAGGCUAGAGAUCGGAAGAGGUAAGUGGAAUUCCCAGUGUAGAGGUGAAAUUCGUAGAUAUUGGGAAGAACACCAGUGGCGAAGGCGGCUUACUGGUCCGAUACUGACGCUGAGGUACGAAAGCGUGGGGAGCAAACAGGAUU